GAAGUGUGGACGCCAGUCUGCAUGGAGCCGACCUUGAAAUACCACCCUUUAAUGUUUGAUGUUCUAACGUUGACCCGUAAUCCGGGUUGCGGACAGUGUCUGGUGGGUAGUUUGACUGGGGCGGUCUCCUCCUAAAGAGUAACGGAGGAGCACGAAGGUUGGCUAAUCCUGGUCGGACAUCAGGAGGUUAGUGCAAUGGCAUAAGCCAGCUUGACUGCGAGCGUGACGGCGCGAGCAGGUGCGAAAGCAGGUCAUAGUGAUCCGGUGGUUCUGAAUGGAAGGGCCAUCGCUCAACGGAUAAAAGGUACUCCGGGGAUAACAGGCUGAUACCGCCCAAGAGUUCAUAUCGACGGCGGUGUUUGGCACCUCGAUGUCGGCUCAUCACAUCCUGGGGCUGAAGUAGGUCCCAAGGGUAUGGCUGUUCGCCAUUUAAAGUGGUACGCGAGCUGGGUUUAGAACGUCGUGAGACAGUUCGGUCCCUAUCUGCCGUGGGCGCUGGAGAACUGAGGGGGGCUGCUCCUAGUACGAGAGGACCGGAGUGGACGCAUCACUGGUGUUCGGGUUGUCAUGCCAAUGGCACUGCCCGGUAGCUAAAUGCGGAAGAGAUAAGUGCUGAAAGCAUCUAAGCACGAAACUUGCCCCGAGAUGAGUUCUCCCUGACUCCUUGAGAGUCCUGAAGGAACGUUGAAGACGACGACGUUGAUAGGCCGGGUGUGUAAGCGCAGCGAUGCGUUGAGCUAACCGGUACUAAUGAACCGUGAGGCUUAACCUUACAACGCCGAAGCUGUU
rnacentral:rRNA from 1 species